rnacentral:rRNA from 1 species
AUUGAACGCUGGCGGCAUGCCUUACACAUGCAAGUCGAACGGCAGCGGGGGAGAAGCUUGCUUUUCCUGCCGGCGAGUGGCGAACGGGUGAGUAAUACAUCGGAACGUGCCCUGUAGUGGGGGAUAACUAGUCGAAAGAUUAGCUAAUACCGCAUACGACCUGAGGGUGAAAGUGGGGGACCGCAAGGCCUCAUGCUAUAGGAGCGGCCGAUGUCUGAUUAGCUAGUUGGUGGGGUAAAGGCCUACCAAGGCGACGAUCAGUAGCUGGUCUGAGAGGACGAUCAGCCACACUGGGACUGAGACACGGCCCAGACUCCCACGGGAGGCAGCAGUGGGGAAUUUUGGACAAUGGGCGAAAGCCUGAUCCAGCAAUGCCGCGUGUGUGAGGAAGGCCUUCGGGUUGUAAAGCACUUUUGUCCGGAAAGAAAUGGCUCUGGUUAAUACCUGGGGUCGAUGACGGUACCGGAAGAAUAAGGACCGGCUAACUACGUGCCAGCCGCCGCGGUAA